GAUCAGAUGGGGAGCUCCUUACUGGAGAGACAAAGUGGUUUAUUUGGUCCCUGCAAAUGGACCAGCAGAACUUCUGUGAGGGAUGCUCCUGCUGGCUCCAGUUGUGAUGUGCAAAUGAAACAGCAGUUCCUCAUGAAAGUAGCAAGAUUCCCGGCACUGGCAACGGUGUGGGGAGGAGGCAUGGCUCCCCAGCCUCACCUUGCCCUCCCUGGAACACUCUGGAGCAGCCACACACCUCUAUGAGGGCAAGACCAGGUGGGAAUUCCAAGCCCACCCCGCCUUACCUGGGUGCAGCUGGGCAAACAUCAACCAAAUGGACGAUUUCCAAGAGUAUAUAAUGAGAUGGAAACUGGUCAGAUUGGAGUGUCAGUGGGAGCAUUUGAGAUCCAGUGCCCGUGCUCAUGUCCUUUCUGCCCUGCUGAAGUGACCGUGGAAGCACACACAGAGACGCUGACAUCCUCAGACGGUGGAGCCUCCAUCAGCAACAGUCCCCAGGUGCCGGUGCUGAGCCAAACAGCAGCAGCCCUCCCUGCUGGCCACAGUGGACAUGCAAUAAGGGUGAAAAAUCAUCUUUGUGGUUUUAGGGUGAGGUGGCGUUGCCAAAUCUCAUCCUAGCUUGUCCUGACAGUCUGUCUUGUAAGCUCCAAAAUUUCAUCUGCUGCCAUAACAAUUUUGAGCCUCACAGGACCCCAAAGGCCUAAUUGUGAGUUCCUGGGCUCCCACCAGGUAUGCCCCCACCCAACAGGAAAGUCCCCCCACCCAGCUAGUUCCUCUAUCAGCCAGGCCAGCUGCGCUCCACCUGGUCCCCACCUAAUGGGCUUCAGCUCUCUGCCAACGUGGAGUUAUUCAAACCAAUUACAUCCUUCUGCAGGCACCUCACCCUCUUGUUACGACAAAGCCUUUCUCCCAUGGCCCCUGCUGGUCCUCUCUGCUUUUGAGUGCAGGUUUCAUGUGGCCAUACAUGAAAUGCAGCAUCCUCCUCCCUCGGGCUGUGUGUUGACUAAUAAACUUAUCA
rnacentral:lncRNA from 1 species